UAGAUUUCUAACUAUCUUUCCUGUAUUCUGUCAUUAUCUCUCAUUUAUUACCUUCUCUCCUUCUCUUCCUUUUUCCUUUCAAUGUUAGUACUUCCAGAGUUAUAUCUCCUAAAGAACAAUUCCCGUCUCAUUAACCCCCUUCCGAGGGUCCAUAUUAUCUUUAGAAGUGGCCUCCAAAUUUUAGAUCUCAUGGACCACUGAAAUAAAAAUAAAUCAGGGAGUCCAAAACAGUGUUGUCAAUUUUUAUUUUGUCAAGUAAGAACAUUAGAACCUCUCACCAAACUGCCUUCUACUUUUACCAUCACUUGAUAAAAGCAAUUGCCUUUGAUUCCAAAUACAGGAAAGGCAUAAACCCAGAAUAAAGGAGAGACCUUUAAAUUCAACGUAUUUUGUUUCAUAAAAAAACUUACUAAUUGUCUUUAUGUUUCUUAUUUCUCUCCAGUGUAGUGAAAACUUGGACUUAAACCAUCACUGGCCCAUGGCAAGCUUUUGGGGACCAAUGGCCUGCAGAAUAAGAUCUUUGGGUCCUAAUGAGGAAUGUAAACCAGUCUGAUGGGGACCCACUCCUGAGAGCAGCCAGGCUGUACCUCCAUCUCUGGAACCGUGCCAGGAGGCUGUGUGCCUAAUCUGCUCAGAAAUCAUUCCUUUCUGUCUAUCACUGAAGCUUGAACACACUCCAGGAAUUAGGUACUAAUUAAUGUCAACACAUUACAAAUGAAAAAAGAAGGAAAUUGCUUGGACUCAUUCCUGAGGAAAUCUUCAGUAAUUCGCUUCAGUCAAAGUUAAUAUGUACCUCAGGGCA
rnacentral:lncRNA from 1 species